GAUGAAGCAAGGAGGUGCCCCAUGCGUCAGUUUUAUCAGCACUAUUUUACCGCGACAGCGAAGUUGUGCUGGUUGCGUUGGUUAAGCGUCCCACAACGAUUAACCAUGCUUGAAGAACUGAUGCAGUGGGAGGGGAGUCAUUCUGACUACUGAUUUGCGGACAUCAUGUGUGACUGAGUAUUGGUGUUAAUCGCCACGCCAGCAGUGAUUAUCUGCUGGCUUUUUUC
rfam:Shigella dysenteriae Sd197, complete genome.